rnacentral:rRNA from 1 species
CUGAAUAUCCAAGGUUUCCAGGGUAAAGCUGAUCUGCCCUGGGUAAGUCGGGGCCUAAGGCGAGGACGAGAGUCGUAGCCGAUGGACAACAGGUGGAGAUUCCUGUACUGCGGUAUGACAGAACUGUGGGGACACGUAAGGAAAGCGGAAGCCGGGAAUGGAAAGCCCGGUGCAAGCGGGGUACCAGCCACUCAGGCAAAUCCGGGUGGCAAUGGGAAGCCGUGAUGCGGAGCGAAAUACAAGUAGCGAAGUCCGUGAGCCAUGCGUCAAGAAAAGCCGCUAUUGUUUAUACCGUACCCGUACCGUAAACCGACACAGGUGGAUGAGGAGAGAAUCCUAAGGCCGGCGGAAGAAGCAUUGUCAAGGAACUCGGCAAAAUGACCCCGUAACUUCGGGAGAAGGGGUGCCACUGAGAAGUGGCCGCAGAGAAUAGGCUCAAGCAACUGUUUAGCAAAAACACAGGUCUAUGCGAAACCGAAAGGUGAGGUAUAUGGGCUGACGCCUGCCCGGUGCAGGAAGGUUAAGAGGAGAGGUUAGCGCAAGCGAAGCUUUGAAUUUAAGCCCCAGUAAACGGCGGCCGUAACAAUAACGGUCCUAAGGUAGCGAAAUUCCUUGUCGGGUAAGUUCCGACCCGCACGAAAGGCGUAAUGAUUUGAGCGCUGUCUCGACAAUGCAUCCGGUGAAAUUGAAGUACCAGUGAAGAUGCUGGUUACCUGCGCCAGGACGGAAAGACCCCAUGGAGCUUUACUCCAGUUUGGUACUGGGGUCCGGUAUUGCAUGUACAGGAUAGGUGGGAGGCUAGGAAGCAGUAACGCCAGUUGCUGCGGAGCCGCUGUUGGGAUACCACCCUUGCAGUACUGGGCUUCUAACCAGCCGCCGUGAACCGGCGGUGGGACAAUGCCAGACGGGGAGUUUGACUGGGGCGGUCGCCUCCGAAAGGGUAUCGGAGGCGCCCAAAGGUUCCCUCAGAAUGGACGGAAACCAUUCGAAGAGUGCAAAGGCAGAAGGGAGCUUGACUGCGACACCGACGGGUGGAGCAGGUACGAAAGUAGGGCUUAGUGAUCCGGUGGUAUUAAGUGGAAAUGCCAUCGCUCAACGGAUAAAAGCUACCCUGGGAUAACAGGCUUAUCACUCCCAAGAGUUCACAUCGACGGAGUGGUUUGGCACCUCGAUGUCGGCUCAUCGCAUCCUGGGGCUGUAGUAGGUCCCAAGGGUUGGGCUGUUCGCCCAUUAAAGCGGUACGCGAGCUGGGUUCAGAACGUCGUGAGACAGUUCGGUCCCUAUCCGGCGUGGGCGUAGGAUAUCUGAGAGGAGCUGUCCUUAGUACGAGAGGACCGGGAUGGACGGACCGCUGGUGUACCGGUUAGACUGCCAAGUCUACGGCCGGGUAGCCAAGUCCGGAAGGGAUAAACGCUGAAGGCAUCUAAGCGUGAAGCCCCCCUCAAGAUGAGAUGUCCCAUUCGAAAGAAGUAAACCCCCUUGAAGACGACGAGGUAGAUAGGGCAGGGGUGGAAGUGCAGUAAUGCACGGAGCUGACUGUUACUAAUAGGGUGAGGGCUUGAUC